AUUGAACGCUGGCGGCAGGCCUAACACAUGCAAGUCGAGCGGAUGAUGGGAGCUUGCUCCUGGAUUCAGCGGCGGACGGGUGAGUAAUGCCUAGGAAUCUGCCUGGUAGUGGGGGACAACGUUUCGGAAGGAACGCUAAUACCGCAUACGUCCUACGGGAGAAAGCAGGGGACCUUCGGGCCUUGCGCUAUCAGAUGAGCCUAGGUCGGAUUAGCUUGUUGGUAAGGUAAUGGCUCACCAAGGCGACGAUCCGUAACUGGUCUGAGAGGAUGAUCAGUCACACUGGAACUGAGACACGGUCCAGACUCCUACGGGAGGCAGCAGUGGGGAAUAUUGGACAAUGGGCGAAAGCCUGAUCCAGCCAUGCCGCGUGUGUGAAGAAGGUCUUCGGAUUGUAAAGCACUUUAAGUUGGGAGGAAGGGUUGUAGAUUAAUACUCUGCAAUUUUGACGUUACCGACAGAAUAAGCACCGGCUAACUCUGUGCCAGCCGCCGCCGUAAUAC
rnacentral:rRNA from 1 species